CGACCGGCGCACGGGUGAGUAACGCGUAUGCAACCUGCCUACUACAGUGAGAUAACCCGGCGAAAGUCGGACUAAUAUCGCAUAAUACAAUUUUGCCGCAUGGUUUUAUUGUUAAAGAUUUAUCGGUAGUAGAUGGGCAUGCGUUCCAUUAGGUAGUUGGUAAGGUAAGAGCUUACCAAGCCGUCGAUGGAUAGGGGAACUGAGAGGUUUAUCCCCCACACUGGAACUGAGACACGGACCAG
rnacentral:rRNA from 1 species